AAACACUGUGAUCCAACAUGGCGGCCACCAUGAGGCUUAUAUCGAGGUUGUCGCUGGUCACUGGGGGAGGCAGCGGCAUCGGACGAGCCGUCUGCCAGCGCUUGGCCUCUGAAGGCGCCUCCGUGGUCGUCGCUGACAUCAGCGAGGAGUCGGCCAAUGAAACCUUGAGGAGCCUGACAGGUGACCUCAGGGGUCAGGGUCACAUGGCCGCCGUGGUGGACGUGUCGUCCAAGGAGAGUGUGAAAAGUCUGAUCACCAGUAUCCAAGCCCAGUACUUCCAGCCGCCCUCCGUCUGCGUGAACGCCGCUGGAAUCACUCAGGACGACUUUCUGCUCAACAUGGAGGAGGAGCACUUCGACAGGGUCAUCAAGGUCAACCUGAAGGGCUCCUUCCUGGUCACUCAGGCAGUGGCCCAGGCUCUUGUAGCCUGUGGGUCCUCCAAAGGUUCCAUCAUAACUGUGGGCAGCAUUGUUGGCAAGGUGGGAAACCUGGGUCAGGUCAAUUACUCGGCCUCCAAAGCCGGAGUGGAGGGCUUGACCAGAACCUCGGCCAAGGAGCUGAGCAGGUUUGGGAUCAGGUGCAACUGUGUUCUUCCAGGGUUCAUCUCGACGCCGAUGACGGAAAAAGUCCCAGAGAAGGUCAUUAGCAAGGUACCGUGUGAGUUCCUGUCCUCAGAUGGAGACUGGUCACAUGACCACCUGACCAAGUGGGACGGGGGUUUGUCAGGCCUCUUUCUUCCUCCUACUCUUCAUCAUCAUCAUCAUAGUCACCUUACUGGUUUGAAACUGUUCAUCAUCGCCAGUGUCUUUUGAGAAUCUUCAUCAUCAUCAUCAUCAUCAUCAUCGUCUUUUGAGGCUCUUCUCAUCAUCUUCAAGAUUUAUUAUUGUUUUCUUCCUUUGCUUCUCUUCAUUAUUUAUGAGCAUCUUCUUCUAAGACUCUUCAUCAUCAUCGUCUUUUGACACUCAUCAUCAUCUUCAUAUGAGACCUUUCAUCAUUAUGUGUGAUCGUCAUCUUCAUCAUCUUCUUAUUUAAAAGACUUUCACAUCAUCUUCUUCAUUUCAGACUCUUCUUCUUCAUCAUCAUCAUCUUCAUUGAGAGUCUUCUUCAUCAUCAUCAUCAUCUUCAUUGAGAGUCUUCUUCUUCAUCAUCAUCAUCUUCAUUGAGAGUCUUCUUCUUCAUCAUCAUCAUCUUCAUUGAGAGUCUUCUUCAUCAUCAUCAUCAUCUUCAUUGAGAGUCUUCUUCAUCAUCAUCAUCAUCUUCAUUGAGAGUCUUCUUCAUCAUCAUCAUCUUCUUCAUUGAGAGUCUUCUUCAUCAUCAUCAUCUUCAUUGAGAGUCUUCUUCAUCAUCAUCAUCAUCUUCAUUGAGAGUCUUCUUCUUCUUCAUCAUCAUCAUCUUCAUUGAGACUGUUAAUCCUUUGACGACUGUCAUCUUUUUCAUCGUCCUGUUCUUCUUUUUGACACUGGUCAUCUUCUUCAUCUUCGUCUUCUUAGUUCUCAAAAGAGUCCAUCAGGAUGACCCUUCUCAGAGGGGCCAGUAGACGUGGAUCAGACUCCUCUCCUGCUUCACAAACCGGUUGUUUCAAACCAAGCAGAGCAGAGAGUGCCCUCUAGUGGCUCAAAGAUAUCUGUAUUGUAUUUAUAUGUAUGGUUUUUGGCCUGAGUGCUUUGUUUUCUCGUCAUUUCUCAGAUGAAGUCCCUGGUGCCGCUGGGGAGGAUGGGUGAGCCUGCAGAGGUCGCUAGUGUCUGUGCCUUCUUGGCUUCAGAUGACUCCUGCUACAUCACAGGAGCCAGCGUUGAAGUCACAGGUGGACUCUUCAUGGGCUAAUCCAGCUGUCCAUCAU